GCCUGCUGGAGCGUUCUGUGGUUUUGCUAUUGUGGCCUCCUUGCAGUAAGCUUAGCCUUGUAUGCCUCAUCACAGGUUAAGACAAAAAACCCAUCCUUCUUUGAUGUUUUGGUUUAGUUGGAGCCUUCACUCUAGGAAUAUCUCAAAGAAUGCUUGUUGAGUCAUCGGUAUUGAGCACUCAAUGGCAGCCAGAGCUAAAUCCGGAGGACAGUCACUUGAACCUUCAGUUGUGACAGCAAUGGGUUGAGGAGUUGGCCCAACAUCAACAAAUGAACACCCCAUGUCCAAUAAUGCCUGAACCUCCUCAGCAGAAAACUGAGGAAUGUCUUCAACGACUGGUUACACUUUGAACACUCUACCAGAAGGUGUUGGAGCAGGUGGACUUUCUCCAGCCAUCCCGGGUGUGGAAUUUGACAGUUCUGACAUCAGUGGAAAUGCAGAUAAGGUAGAUCCACUGCCAUUAUCCUUGUCACAUAGUAAAUUUCAUAAUC